rnacentral:rRNA from 1 species
GACGAACGCUGGCGGCGUGCUUAACACAUGCAAGUCGAACGGAAAGGCCCUGCUUGCAGGGUACUCGAGUGGCGAACGGGUGAGUAACACGUGGGUGAUCUGCCCUGCACUUCGGGAUAAGCCUGGGAAACUGGGUCUAAUACCGGAUAGGAGCCAUUUUUAGUGUGAUGGUUGGAAAGUUUUUUCGGUGUAGGAUGAGCUCGCGGCCUAUCAGCUUGUUGGUGGGGUAAUGGCCUACCAAGGCGGCGACGGGUAGCCGGCCUGAGAGGGUGGACGGCCACAUUGGGACUGAGAUACGGCCCAGACUCCUACGGGAGGCAGCAGUGGGGAAUAUUGCACAAUGGGCGCAAGCCUGAUGCAGCGACGCCGCGUGGGGGAUGACGGCCUUCGGGUUGUAAACUCCUUUCGCUAGGGACGAAGCUUUUUGUGACGGUACCUAGAGAAGAAGCACCGGCUAACUACAUG